UACGUAGGUGGCAAGCGUUGUCCGGAUUUACUGGGCGUAAGGAGCGCGCAGGCGGUCGGAUUAGUCGCGUGUGAAAGCCCCCGGCUCAACUGGGGAGGGUCACGCGAUACUGUUCGACUCGAAGGCAGGAGAGGGAAGUGGAAUUCCCGGUGUAGUGGUGAAAUGCGUAGAUAUCGGGAGGAACACCAGUGGCGAAGGCGACUUCCUGGCCUGUUCUUGACGCUGAGGCGCGAAAGCUAGGGUAGCAAACGGG
rnacentral:rRNA from 1 species